rnacentral:lncRNA from 1 species
AAACAAAAGGACUAGAUGGUACUUUAUUUCUGCCUCCUAUUGAUGAUAGAAUAAUAGUUAAGAAUGCAGAUUUGAAGUCAGACUGCCUUGGUUCAAAUUUUGUAUCCAAUCAACUGUGUGACCUUGGGUACGUUAUUAAACAACUCUGCCUCUGAUUUCUCAUCUGUAAAAUGGGGAUAAUGGUACAGGUUGAGUAUCCCUUAUCUGAAAUGCUUGGGACCAGAAGUGUUUUGGGUUUCAGAUUUUUUUUUCAUAUUUUGGAAUAGUUGCAGUAUACUUACCAGUUUAGCAUAAAUCCAAAAUGUUCCAGUGAGCAUUUCCUUU